rnacentral:rRNA from 1 species
GCCUACGGGGCGCAGCAGUGAGGAAUAUUGGUCAAUGGGCGGGAGCCUGAACCAGCCAAGUCGCGUGAGGGAAGACGGUCCUAUGGAUUGUAAACCUCUUUAGGCGGGGAGCAAUGCCGGGCACGCGUGCUCGGAGGGAGAGUACCCGCAGAAUAAGCAUCGGCUAACUCCGUGCCAGCAGCCGCGGUAAUACGGAGGAUGCGAGCGUUAUCCGGAUUUAUUGGGUUUAAAGGGUGCGCAGGCGGCGUGUCAAGUCAGCGGUAAAAUGUCGGGGCUCAACCCCGGCCGGCCGUUGAAACUGGCGG